rnacentral:rRNA from 1 species
AGUGAACGCUGGCGGUAGACCUAACACAUGCAAGUCGAACGGCAGCACAGGAGAGCUUGCUCUCUGGGUGGCGAGCGGCGGACGGGUGAGGAAUACAUCGGAAUCUACUCUGUCGUGGGGGAUAACGUAGGGAAACUUACGCUAAUACCGCAUACGACCUACGGGUGAAAGCAGGGGACCUUCGGGCCUUGCGCGAUUGAAUGCGCCGAUGUCGGAUUAGCUAGUUGGCGGGGUAAAGGCCCACCAAGGCGACGAUCCGGAGCGGGUCUGAGAGGAUGAUCAGCCACACUGGAACUGGGGCACGGUCCAGACUCCUACGGGAGGCAGCAGUGGGGAAUAUUGGACAAUGGGCGCAGGCCUGAUCCAGCCAUACCGCGUGGGCGAAGAAGGCCUUCGGGUUGUAAAGCCCUUUUGUUGGGAAAGAAAGCCAGCUGGCUAAUACCCGGUUGGGAUGACGUUACCCAAAGAAUAAGCACCGGCUAACUUCGUGCCAGCCGCCGCCGUAA